rnacentral:rRNA from 1 species
UACGUAGGGCGCAAGCGUUAUCCGGAAUUAUUGGGCGUAAAGAGCUCGUAGGCGGUUUGUCGCGUCUGCCGUGAAAGUCCGGGGCUCAACUCCGGAUCUGCGGUGGGUACGGGCAGACUAGAGUGAUGUAGGGGAGACUGGAAUUCCUGGUGUAGCGGUGAAAUGCGCAGAUAUCAGGAGGAACACCGGUGGCGAAGGCGGUCUCUGGGCAUUACCUGACGCUGAGGAGC